UUAAGCGACUAAGCGUACACGGUGGAUGCCCUGGCAGUCAGAGGCGAUGAAGGACGUGCUAAUCUGCGAUAAGCGUCGGUAAGGUGAUAUGAACCGUUAUAACCGGCGAUUUCCGAAUGGGGAAACCCAGUGUGUUUCGACACACUAUCAUUAACUGAAUCCAUAGGUUAAUGAGGCGAACCGGGGGAACUGAAACAUCUAAGUACCCCGAGGAAAAGAAAUCAACCGAGAUUCCCCCAGUAGCGGCGAGCGAACGGGGAGCAGCCCAGAGCCUGAAUCAGUGUGUGUGUUAGUGGAAGCGUCUGGAAAGGCGCGCGAUACAGGGUGACAGCCCCGUACACAAAAAUGCACAUACUGUGAGCUCGAUGAGUAGGGCGGGACACGUGGUAUCCUGUCUGAAUAUGGGGGGACCAUCCUCCAAGGCUAAAUACUCCUGACUGACCGAUAGUGAACCAGUACCGUGAGGGAAAGGCGAAAAGAACCCCGGCGAGGGGAGUGAAAAAGAACCUGAAACCGUGUACGUACAAGCAGUGGGAGCCUCUUUUAUGGGGUGACUGCGUACCUUUUGUAUAAUGGGUCAGCGACUUAUAUUCUGUAGCAAGGUUAACCGAAUAGGGGAGCCGAAGGGAAACCGAGUCUUAACCGGGCGUUAAGUUGCAGGGUAUAGACCCGAAACCCGGUGAUCUAGCCAUGGGCAGGUUGAAGGUUGGGUAACACUAACUGGAGGACCGAACCGACUAAUGUUGAAAAAUUAGCGGAUGACUUGUGGCUGGGGGUGAAAGGCCAAUCAAACCGGGAGAUAGCUGGUUCUCCCCGAAAGCUAUUUAGGUAGCGCCUCGUGAAUUCAUCUCCGGGGGUAGAGCACUGUUUCGGCAAGGGGGUCAUCCCGACUUACCAACCCGAUGCAAACUGCGAAUACCGGAGAAUGUUAUCACGGGAGACACACGGCGGGUGCUAACGUCCGUCGUGAAGAGGGAAACAACCCAGACCGCCAGCUAAGGUCCCAAAGUCAUGGUUAAGUGGGAAACGAUGUGGGAAGGCCCAGACAGCCAGGAUGUUGGCUUAGAAGCAGCCAUCAUUUAAAGAAAGCGUAAUAGCUCACUGGUCGAGUCGGCCUGCGCGGAAGAUGUAACGGGGCUAAACCAUGCACCGAAGCUGCGGCAGCGACACUGUGUGUUGUUGGGUAGGGGAGCGUUCUGUAAGCCUGUGAAGGUGUACUGUAAGGUAUGCUGGAGGUAUCAGAAGUGCGAAUGCUGACAUAAGUAACGAUAAAGCGGGUGAAAAGCCCGCUCGCCGGAAGACCAAGGGUUCCUGUCCAACGUUAAUCGGGGCAGGGUGAGUCGACCCCUAAGGCGAGGCCGAAAGGCGUAGUCGAUGGGAAACAGGUUAAUAUUCCUGUACUUGGUGUUACUGCGAAGGGGGGACGGAGAAGGCUAUGUUGGCCGGGCGACGGUUGUCCCGGUUUAAGCGUGUAGGCUGGUUUUCCAGGCAAAUCCGGAAAAUCAAGGCUGAGGCGUGAUGACGAGGCACUACGGUGCUGAAGCAACAAAUGCCCUGCUUCCAGGAAAAGCCUCUAAGCAUCAGGUAACAUCAAAUCGUACCCCAAACCGACACAGGUGGUCAGGUAGAGAAUACCAAGGCGUUUGAGAGAACUCGGGUGAAGGAACUAGGCAAAAUGGUGCCGUAACUUCGGGAGAAGGCACGCUGAUAUGUAGGUGAAGUCCCUCGCGGAUGGAGCUGAAAUCAGUCGAAGAUACCAGCUGGCUGCAACUGUUUAUUAAAAACACAGCACUGUGCAAACACGAAAGUGGACGUAUACGGUGUGACGCCUGCCCGGUGCCGGAAGGUUAAUUGAUGGGGUCAGCGCAAGCGAAGCUCUUGAUCGAAGCCCCGGUAAACGGCGGCCGUAACUAUAACGGUCCUAAGGUAGCGAAAUUCCUUGUCGGGUAAGUUCCGACCUGCACGAAUGGCGUAAUGAUGGCCAGGCUGUCUCCACCCGAGACUCAGUGAAAUUGAACUCGCUGUGAAGAUGCAGUGUACCCGCGGCAAGACGGAAAGACCCCGUGAACCUUUACUAUAGCUUGACACUGAACAUUGAGCCUUGAUGUGUAGGAUAGGUGGGAGGCUUUGAAGUGUGGACGCCAGUCUGCAUGGAGCCGACCUUGAAAUACCACCCUUUAAUGUUUGAUGUUCUAACGUGGACCCGUGAUCCGGGUUGCGGACAGUGUCUGGUGGGUAGUUUGACUGGGGCGGUCUCCUCCUAAAGAGUAACGGAGGAGCACGAAGGUUGGCUAAUCCUGGUCGGACAUCAGGAGGUUAGUGCAAUGGCAUAAGCCAGCUUGACUGCGAGCGUGACGGCGCGAGCAGGUGCGAAAGCAGGUCAUAGUGAUCCGGUGGUUCUGAAUGGAAGGGCCAUCGCUCAACGGAUAAAAGGUACUCCGGGGAUAACAGGCUGAUACCGCCCAAGAGUUCAUAUCGACGGCGGUGUUUGGCACCUCGAUGUCGGCUCAUCACAUCCUGGGGCUGAAGUAGGUCCCAAGGGUAUGGCUGUUCGCCAUUUAAAGUGGUACGCGAGCUGGGUUUAGAACGUCGUGAGACAGUUCGGUCCCUAUCUGCCGUGGGCGCUGGAGAACUGAGGGGGGCUGCUCCUAGUACGAGAGGACCGGAGUGGACGCAUCACUGGUGUUCGGGUUGUCAUGCCAAUGGCACUGCCCGGUAGCUAAAUGCGGAAGAGAUAAGUGCUGAAAGCAUCUAAGCACGAAACUUGCCCCGAGAUGAGUUCUCCCUGACCCUUUAAGGGUCCUGAAGGAACGUUGAAGACGACGACGUUGAUAGGCCGGGUGUGUAAGCGCAGCGAUGCGUUGAGCUAACCGGUACUAAUGAACCGUGAGGCUUAACCU
rnacentral:rRNA from 1 species